UACGGAGGAUGCGAGCGUUAUCCGGAUUUAUUGGGUUUAAGGGUGCGUAGGCGGAUCGUUAAGUCAGUGGUCAAAUUGAGGGGCUCAACCCCUUCCCGCCAUUGAAACUGGCGAUCUUGAGUGGAAGAGAAGUAUGCGGAAUGCGUGGUGUAGCGGUGAAAUGCAUAGAUAUCACGCAGAACCCCGAUUGCGAAGGCAGCAUGCCGGCUUCCUACUGACGCUGAAGCACGAAAGCGUGGGGAUCGAACAGG
rnacentral:rRNA from 1 species